CACGUAGGGCGCGAGCGUUGUCCGGAAUUAUUGGGCGUAAAGAGCUCGUAGGCGGCCUGUUGCGUCCGCUGUGAAAGCCCGGGGCUUAACCCCGGGUCGGCAGUGGAUACGGGCAGGCUAGAGGUAGGUAGGGGAGAAUGGAAUUCCCGGUGUAGCGGUGAAAUGCGUAGAUAUCUGGAGGAACACCGGUGGCGAAGGCGGCAUCCUGGACCGACACUGACGCUGAGGAGCGAAAGCCAGGGGAGCAAACGGG
rnacentral:rRNA from 1 species